GACGGCCGCCGGGACGAGGCAUCAUAAGAAGAAUGCCGAGAGGGAGGAGGCGCAGGCUCCGCCCAGUGGGAGGAGAGCGAUAAUCUCAGGAUCGACUCUAGGGCCUGGACACCGGCCGGAAGCCGAACUACCAGGCGCAGGUGGAGUCUGCGCCUCCCUGACAACAGGUGCCGGUGUCUUUCUCUCCCGGCUGAUGGAAAAGAAGGUCAACUGCACACAAGGGUCUCUCUCAAGAUGGAAAAUUAGACUUGAAUAUUUCAGUUCACACAAGAAGAAUGAAGCAGAGAUGCCCUUUCUACCAGGAUUUGAUGGAAGGACACCAGAUGCUGCAACAAGCCUUUUCAGUUGUAACAGAACAGAAAAAGUCAAGCAAGCAGAGGCUCACUGACCCCAUCCCAUGCAGAGAGAACACAACCUUCUGGAGGCACCAGUGACAACAGUUACUCACAGAGCAGCAGCCCCAGAGAUGAUCUCAAUCAGCUCCUUUGUGAUGACAGCCUGGCGAGUGCGGUUGAAAGUCAGCGUCAGUUUGUCAAUCAUAUCAGCUGCACACAAAGAAAAUAAAGUUUUGAAAAGAGUAAUUUCUACUUAAUUAAAGCAAUUAAGAGUUGAAGUAAAUUCUGCUGCAAUUUGGAUCCCCAAUGGCCUCUCGGGUCGGAUGAAGUGUAUGCUUAAAAAGACAUGGAGGAAUGCAAGAGAACUUAUCCCAAAAGGCAGCCCACAUCUAAUGCAUACACAUGCUAGUACUAUAUACACAGAUCACGGUACCUUCAACUUGGAAACAAGUGAAAUUUCAGUUAAUGCUUCUGAAUCUGUUGGUAAUCCUUGUCUAUUUUUUUAUCAUGUGUGUCAUGUAUUUGUAUCUAUGUACGUGCAUGUAUUUGUGUCUAUGUACAUGCAUAUGUGUGAGGGUGGUCUUGGAAACCAGAAGGGGGUAAUGGGUCUUCUGGAAGUGCAAGAGUUCUUGCCCGUGAGGCACCUCUUCUUCAAUCUCUCUGUCUUUUUUCCUCUCAUUCCCUUCUAUGUUUAGCAAGUGUUUUUUUGUCCUAGGUGUUGGGCCUGCAGGAAAGAUGUUUCUAUUCUAGCAGUCAUUCAAAUAAUAAACAAGGACACAAUGGGUCAAGUUAUAAUUGUUAGGUUAAAAAGAACCCUGCCCCACGAGUUAGGGGAGGAGACAGCCCAGGCGGUAGGUGCCUGCCCCACAGCCAUGAGGACUUGAAGACUGCACCAUGUAAACAGGAGAAGUGUCAGUGCACAGCGUACUCCAGUGCUGGGAUGCAGACAAAUGGACGAUCCCUCUACCCAGCCCCGGGCUCACUGGCCAGCCCGACUACUCAAAACUGAACGAGCCUGUCUCAAGAAACAAGGCAGAGAUCUGGCUGAGGCCGACCUGCCAUCCUCCUCUGGUUUCUACACACACAAAGUAUCCAGACACAUCCACAUCACAGACUGAAUGGUGGAGUAGGAGAAGAGUCCUGAACACAGCCAACGCUGUUUGUAUAAUCCAAGAUACAAGUGUCACAUCUAGGUCCAGCACUCAUAACUCAACAGCUAGUCCUAAGAAGAAACAUGGACUGUGAGCAAUCAGAGCAGAUAUAAGGUCACCAGACAGCCUAUAACUGGACCUUCUUGUCUUGUGACUGCCAGAAUGCAGUUCCUUAAGUGACUUAAUACUUAAAUGACCUUGAGAUUGUUCUUGCCACAUCAAGAACUGAAUGACGCCAGGCUGGAGCGUUGGCUCAACAGUAAAGAGCACCAUUGCCCUCGCAGAGCAAGAGCCUGAGCUUGGUUCCCAGACCCAAGGCACCGGCAGAUCGCAACUACCUAAUUCAGUUCCGGGACCUAGAGACCCCUUCCGGCCUCUCUCUGUGGGGCUUUUACGUAACUGAACCCAGACGCAUUAAUAAAAAGGGAUGCAUCUUCAAGAACCCUUGGCUACACAGCAAUGUUGCUUACAGUGUGGACUGUUGUAGAGGACUAUGAGAAUACCUGAGAGAUGGAACCCAGCCACCCCGCAACCCCCUUCAGAGUUUUCUUUACUUUCCUUUAGUAACUCCAUCUUGUCUCUUAACUCUGAAAUAUGCUGCCUACCUCAAAAUUUCUUCAAAAUCCACAAUGGAAAAGCCACUGUUCUACCGCCCUCAUGGGCAGCCCAUUCCAGUGCCUAGACAGUGUGCUUUGCUAAAUAAACUGUUGUCUAUA